ensembl:lncRNA
GGGACCCUGGGAUGCCAGGYGGGGAAUGGGGGAUCCCGGGAUGUCCGGGAGCCACCUGGGGGGACCCCCGGGUGCCUGGGAGGUGGCAGGGGCACGGGGGAUCCUUGGGUGGAGGGCACCCAGCAGGGAGGACCCGGGGUGCCCAGGACCUGCCAAGGGAAUAAGGAGACCUCAGGGUGCCUGGGAGCUGACUGGGAAAUGGGGGAUCCCGGGAGCCACCUGGGGGGACCCCCGUGUGCCUGGGAGGUGGCAGGGGCACAUGGGACCCCCAGGGUGGUGGGGACCCGUCUGGGAGGUCCCCAGGGUGCCCAGGAGCCACCUGGGGGGACCCCCAGGUGCCUGGGAGGUGGCAAGGGAAUAGGGAGACCCCAGGGAUCCCAGGAGCUGCCUGUGGGGAAUGGGGGAUGCCGGGAUGUCCRGGAGCCACCUGGGGGGACACCCAGGCGCCUGGGAGGUGGCAGGGGCACAGGGGACCCCCGGGGCGGUGGGGACCCGUCCGGGCGGUCCCCGGGGCGCCCUCACCUCGUAGAAGCGGCAGGCGGGCAGGGUGCCGUCGCGCUCGUGCUGGGCUCGCACGUAGGAGGCCGUCAGGCUCAGGCACUUGCUGUCCACCUCCUUCCCGAAGCGCAGCGAGGACACCUGGCGCGCCCCGCGCUGUCACCGGGCCACCGCCACCCGCUGCCACCCCCCUCCCCGCUGCCACCCCCGUCCUCACGGCCACCGGGGCCACCGGGCACUGCCACCCCCAUUCCCCCUGCUACCGGCGCCACCGGGCACUGCCACCCCCGUCCUCACUGGCACCGGGGCCACUGGGCACUGCCACCUCUGUCCCCGCCGGCACCGGGGCCACCAGGCACUGCCACCCCUGUCCCUACUGCCACUGGGGCCACCAGGCACUGCCACCCCCAUCCUCACUGGCACCGGGGCCACUGGGCACUGCCACCCCCAUCCUCACUGGCACCGGGGCCACCGGACACUGCCACCCCCGUCCCCACUGGCACUGGGGCCACCAGGCACUGCCACCCCCUGUCACCCCUGCUGCCGGGGCCACUGAGCACUGCCACCCCCUGCCACCCCUGUCCUUACUGCAAUCAGGGCCACCAGCUACUGCCACUCUCAUCCCCACUGCCACCAGCCACCACCACCUGCUGCCACCCUCAUCCUCAUUGCCACUGGGGCCACUGGGCACUGCCACUCCUGUCCCCAUGGCCACUGGGGCCACCAGCUACUGCCACUCUCAUCCCCACUGCCACCAGCCACCACCACCUGCUGCCACCCUCAUCCUCAUUGCCACUGGGGCCCCUGGGCACCGCCACCCGCUGCCACCAGGCCGCCAGGGCCACGAGACGAUGCCAAUUGGGGCCACGGGGCGCUGCCACCCCGCUGCCACCAGGCCCCGCCACCUCCAUUGCCGCUGCCACCCUGUCCCCAGCGUCCCCCGGGCGCUGCCACCGCGCUGCCCACCUCGGGGUGGAUGCACAGGUUCUUCCUGGAGCUCAGCGCCAGCCCCAGGAACGGCACCUUCUCGCCCAGCUGCUUCUCGUAGAAAUCCAUGAGCUUCCGCAGCUCCUCGAUCACCUGCGGCGACGACAGCCAGGCCACCAGAUCCUCCCCCACCCCUGCCAGGGGAUCCCCUCCGGGAUCCGCUCGCCGCCCCCAGCCUCGCAACCCACCUUCUCGAUCUCCGGCACCGUGCGGGAGCAGUAGAUGAGCUUGGUGAGGUCCAACGGCCGAGCCUGG